GUGCCAGCCGCGCGGUAAUACCGGCAGCCCGAGUGAUGGCCGAUCUUAUUGGGCCUAAAGCGUCCGUAGCUAGCUGCGCAAGUCCGUCGGGAAAUCCACGCGCUCAACGCGUGGGCGUCCGGCGGAAACCACUCGGCUUGGGGCCGGAAGACUCGAGGGGUACGUCUGGGGUAGGAGUGAAAUCCCGUAAUCCCGGACGGACCGCCGAUGGCGAAAGCACCUCGAGAAGACGGACCCGACGGUGAGGGACGAAAGCCAGGGUCUCGAACCGGAUUAGAAACCCUAGUAGUCC
rnacentral:rRNA from 1 species